GAUGAACGCUGGCGGCGUGCUUAACACAUGCAAGUCGAACGGCAAGGCCCUGCUUUUGUGGGGUGCUCGAGUGGCGAUCGGGUGCGUAACACGUGUGUAACCUGCCCUUGACUUUGGGAUAACUUCAGGAAACUGGGGCUAAUCCCAGAUCGCAGCUCCUGCUGCAUUGUGGGGGUUGGAAAGUUUCGGCGGUUGGGGAUGGACUAGCGGCUUAUAAGCUUGUUGGUGGGGUAGUGGCUUACCCAGGCUGUGACGGGUAGCCGGCAUGUGAAGGUGACCAGCCACAAGGGGACUGAGAGACGGCCCAGACGCCUACGGGAGACAGCAGUCGGGAAUAUUGCACAGUGAGCGGAAGCCGGAUGCAGCAACGCCGCGUUCGUGAUGACGGCCUGCUGGGUGUAAACCGCUUUAGCCUAUGACGAAGCGGGAGUGACGGUAAUGAGUAAAGAAGCACCGGCUAACUACGUG
rnacentral:rRNA from 1 species